GCUGGGUGGAUUAGUGGCGAACGGGUGAGUAACACGUGAGUAACCUGCCCUUAACUCUGGGAUAAGCCUGGGAAACUGGGUCUAAUACCGGAUAGGAGCGCCUACCGCAUGGUGGGUGUUGGAAAGAUUUAUCGGUUUUGGAUGGACUCGCGGCCUAUCAGCUUGUUGGUGAGGUAAUGGCUCACCAAGGCGACGACGGGUAGCCGGCCUGAGAGGGUGACCGGCCACACUGGGACUGAGACACGGCCCAGACUCCUACGGGAGGCAGCAGUGGGGAAUAUUGCACAAUGGGCGCAAGCCUGAUGCAGCGACGCCGCGUGAGGGAUGACGGCCUUCGGGUUGUAAACCUCUUUCAGUAGGGAAGAAGCGAAAGUGACGGUACCUGCAGAAGAAGCACCGGCUAACUACGUGCCAGCAGCCGCGGUAAUACGUAGGGUGCGAGCGUUAUCCGGAAUUAUUGGGGCGUAAAGAGCUCGUAGGCGGUUUGUCGCGUCUGUCGUGAAAG
rnacentral:rRNA from 1 species